rnacentral:lncRNA from 13 species
CUUAUGUAAUUUUGAAUAACUUAUUAUUCCUAUUCUAACACUCUCCUUCUUCUUUCCCCACAUUAGACACCAAUACAAUACAGAUGGCAAAGGAUAGAACACUUUCCUGGAUAGAGCAUUAGGCUGCUUGAAGAUCUUCACAAGCUGGUGGUUUCUGAGCAGUCAACCCAGGGGUGAACUCAAACUGACUGACUGAAACCUGCCUUCAUCUGCAUCAUCUGCUUGCUUUUUGGGUGAAGACUUCAUCUUGAAAAGCCACUUCCUAUGGUGAAAAACAGGAGAGAGUUAUGCUUUCAAACUGUAGAGAAGGCAAAUAUUUUGGAUUCUGGCUUCUGUAUUUCUGCAGAGAUUUGUGUGAUCUCACUGAAUGCUGAGUGCUUGUGAAGACACUGAAGAUAUCCUUUGCCGAUACUUGUGCUCUGAUUUCACCCCUCCUUACCCAAGUGGGGAAGUCGAGUCUUGCUGUUCCUGUGUGCCCACAACUGAGGAGCACUGCCUCCAUAAGUGACCCUACUGAAGCUCCAGUAGGAAAGAAUACACCUCACCCAUAACAAGGAAUAUAGAAGAAGCUUCAGACUGGGGCCAAACAUUCCGUUCAUAAGUUUCAUGUCCUUCUGAAAGGUAAGAAAAAUGGGGGGGAAUCUUUGUCCUCUUUGUACUUUCAUGUGGUACAGGAAGACCAUAGGGAGGUGGUGGAGUCAGCGUCCCUGGAAGUGUUUAAGAAAAGCCUGGAUGUGGCACUCAGUUGACAAGGUGG